CAUUUAUUUGAUGACCUUUUCGUCGCCACGUUGAUUACGUUUAAGGUGAACCGCUACACGUGCAGGAUUAGUUCAGCAAAAAGAUGGAGCAGUACGUUCUUUUUAAAGGAAGCAAAAGGGUAACGUUGAGGGACGAUGACAUGAGCGCGGAGAAGAUAGGUCGAAUUUUUCAGGUUUCAUCGCAGACUCUGUAUUUGACAGAUGAUUCGAAUAUAGCAAUUUUCCCGGCACAGUCGGGUUAUUUCAGUGCCCUAGACUUCACUGCACGUGGGCAUUAUGAGGUCCAUGGGGAUGAAGUGGAGAAAGGGGUUCUCACCCCAGGAACACCCCUCUCAACCCCAACAGCCUCCCAGCGUUUCUCCUUUACACGCAAUACUCCACCCUCUGCAGCUGCUGGUUCACCUGCGGCGGCUGUUGCAGGACCUCCGAAAGCCGCCAUGACUCGAUCAUUUCAGAGAUCCAUUUACAUAGCUGAUUUAGUAAACGGCAAACUGAGGCCAAGCAGGAUGGUGGUAGUUCGUUUCAUGGAAUGUGAGGCUACAGUACAUGGCAUUAUUGGGAAAGUUCAAGAUGCUCUUGGCAGUUAUGAUCCUGUAAUUCUCACCGAUGCCCAGGGCAAUGAGAUACUUGACUCUGAAGGAACUAAAGGAUCCAUCUACUGGAAGCAAAAUGCCCGCAAGGUAUUUGCAAUUGCAGAGCACGACUUCACAGAAUUUCAAGGCAGCAAGAGGAAAAGAAGCUCAAGUCGGAGAGAUGAUGAAACCUCAAGUCUACAAGAUGUCUAUGAUAAGAUAGAAGAAGUGGUGCUGGCGUCACAGGGCCUUCAGCAAGUUAUCUCAACUAUCAAAGAGCUUUCUGAGCUGUCCAGUCAAACACCUGCCAAAACCUUGACUGAAGUCCAAACAGAGAAAAUAAAAGCAGCUUUCACUUGCAUAGUCUGCAAAGGACCCAUUGAUCAACCAGUAUUUGCCACCUGCUGUAGAAGCCUGAUCGGAUGCAAACUUUGUGUUGAUCAAUGGAUGGCUACUUCAUCACAGUGCUUAAAAUGCAGAGAGGAAGCUCUUAGCAACCACAUCUUUCUUGCAGCAGGUCUCUCUGAAGCUUUGUUAGCUCUUGGUGACAUCAUUAGGGUAGAGUAGGCCUACAUUACCCAGGAAAAAAUGUUUAGCUGUUCAGCAAUUCAAGUUUAGUUCAGUAGUUUAUUUGACAGUUGUUGUGUAAAGUUUUGUUGCACAACUACUUAAAACAAGAAGUAAAAAGAAAUACUUUAAUUUAUCAGCAUCAUGUUGAUGCUUAAAUUUGUGUGUAAUAUUUUGUUUCUAGAAAAAACACUUGAUGGAAAGCAGCAUUGAACAAUUAGAAGGCAUGCUCUUUAAGAGUAUCUUUGAGUUAAAUUUACUAAACAGACCAAAGCCUCUUUAAAAGGCAAAAAGUUUUUGUUGACCGUAUUAUUGAGCAAGUAAGUGAUGUCUGGCCACUUUUCUGAAAACAGUUGUUCCACUGUAGCCUUCUCAUGUUCACUUGUAAAAGGGUCUGUUCCAAAGGCCGAAACCCUUGUCAAAGAUGAUCCCAGUGUGUUCAUGUACAGAUCAGCUGCUUCAGUUCCAUGAGGCAGUAGUGCUGCUGAGAUUUUUUUUGCACAACCACCCUGUGCAAUCUGGUUGGGGAUUCCUUUUCCUGUAGUAAAUGGGAC
ensembl:lncRNA